rnacentral:rRNA from 1 species
GAUGAACGCUGGCGGCGUGCCUAAUACAUGCAAGUCGAGCGAACAGACGAGGAGCUUGCUCCUCUGACGUUAGCGGCGGACGGGUGAGUAACACGUGGAUAACCUACCUAUAAGACUGGGAUAACUUCGGGAAACCGGAGCUAAUACCGGAUAAUAUAUUGAACCGCAUGGUUCAAUAGUGAAAGACGGUUUUGCUGUCACUUAUAGAUGGAUCCGCGCCGCAUUAGCUAGUUGGUAAGGUAACGGCUUACCAAGGCGACGAUGCGUAGCCGACCUGAGAGGGUGAUCGGCGGCACUGGAACUGAGACACGGUCCAGACUCCUACGGGAGGCAGCAGUAGGGAAUCUUCCGCAAUGGGCGGAAGGCUGACGGAGCAGCGCCGCGUGAGUGAUGAAAGUCUUCGGAUCGUAAAACUCUGCUAUUAGGGAAGAACAAAUGUGUAAGUAACUAUGCACGUCUUGACGGUACCUAAUAAGAAAGCCACGGCUAACUACGUG